GGGUGGGGAUGGGCGGGGGGCUCAGCAGUUUCUCCUCCUUCGACACCGCGCCAGGGAAUGAAGAGUUUGAGGACUUAAGAGUUUUAAAAGUCUAAAAACCGGGGACAGGCGAGAGAAAGGAUUAGAGCAACAGAUUGAUUGAUUGCCUCGAAAUAGAGCUCUAUUCCAGCCAGCAAACUAGGCCGAGGUCCGCCUCCUGGAGCCAGCUCUCCCAAGUCACUCUUGGACCUGCAGGAGACGCAAAUCCUCCCAGCAGGUCUCAUUAGCGU